rnacentral:rRNA from 1 species
UUUCGGGUCGUAAAACUCUGUUGUUAGGGAAGAACAAGUGCUAGUUGAAUAAGCUGGCACCUUGACGGUACCUAACCAGAAAGCCACGGCUAACUACGUGCCAGCAGCCGCGGUAAUACGUAGGUGGCAAGCGUUAUCCGGAAUUAUUGGGCGUAAAGCGCGCGCAGGUGGUUUCUUAAGUCUGAUGUGAAAGCCCACGGCUCAACCGUGGAGGGUCAUUGGAAACUGGGAGACUUGAGUGCAGAAGAGGAAAGUGGAAUUCCAUGUGUAGCGGUGAAAUGCGUAGAGAUAUGGAGGAACACCAGUGGCGAAGGCGACUUUCUGGUCUGUAACUGACACUGAGGCGCGAAAGCGUGGGGAGCAAACAGGAUUAGAUACCCCGGUAGU